rnacentral:tRNA from 1 species
GCCUAGUUAGCUUGGUGGAUAGCGCGUCUGCCUUGUAAGCGCUAGGCCGCGGGUUCGAUUCCCGCUCGGGGCG